UACGGAGGGUGCAAGCGUUGUCCGGAAUCAUUGGGCGUAAAGAGCGCGUAGGCGGCCCUGUAAGUCCGCUGUGAAAGUCAAGGGCUCAACCCUUGGAUGCCGGUGGAUACUGUCGGGCUAGAGUGCGGGAGAGGCGAGUGGAAUUCCUGGUGUAGCGGUGAAAUGCGCAGAUAUCGGGAAGAACACCCGUGGCGAAGGCGGCUCUCUGGGACGGUACUGACGCUGAGACGCGAAAGCGUGGGGAGCGAACAGG
rnacentral:rRNA from 1 species